GUACCUAAGGAGGAAGAGGAGGAGGAGGGUGUGUGUUAUUGAAUGGUGGCUAAAGCCUCCUCGGGACGGCGCUGAGGUGAAACAGGCUGAACCCGACUGAUGUGCCUCCUCUCUCGGUUGGACCCAGUGCCCUAAGCAGCCGAUGAGAGACCCCCGGCCGCCCGGCUCGCAGGUUACACAUACAAAGUGAACAGAAUGGGCCCAAUCCUGCCAGUCCCUUCUUGAGUACCUCCUUAAUGCUGAAAUGGGCAUGCUAAUUGUGAACUAUGCGGACUCAGCCAAAUCCUGAGUGGAAUUAGGACAGCUUUGCUCUACUUCACUGAUUGAAAGUUGGUUCUAACAGUGGGAAAAGAAACGUCUCCAGAUUUCCAGAGCACCAUGGCUUCCUUAUUUAUCUCUGCAUAAGGCUCCGCUUCACAGAAGCCAAUACACUGGUGGGGCAACCCUCCUCCACUCCCACCAGUGCCAUUUCCAAAGGAACCACUCCAAGCUGCUGAACUCCCCAGCCCCCAGAGCUGCCCUCUUCUUGCAAACUGAGCAUCAGACCCUCUGCGGGGAGGGCUCGUCUAUGAGAGGAACAUUAGAGCCAGUAAUCAAAGACAGGUCCCGACCAUGGCAUGGUAGUGCCCAAACCACAAUGCUGGGGCUUCAUUUUCUGCUGGAUAUGGUGCACUUCCACUGGGAAUAUUUGUUAAAAAAGAACUUUUGAUUUGUUUUGAUUAGAAUUAUGUACUGUGUCUUUGUGACAAACUUUAAAAAGAAACCAACAGUCUGAAAUGUGAAUUCAGUUCAUUUUGUUACUGAAACUCAGAACCUGCAAUCAGUUAACAUGCACCCAGUAAUUAACUGGAUUUCUUCUGUCUGGUGAAUGUAUUAAUUAUCUGCAAUAUAACAUAAUGCUCCCUCUUCUCUUGCAGUCCUUGGAACUAAGUUUGUUUCAUUUGAUACUUUUUAUGACUCUUUAGUAAUAUAAAACCAUUUUUAAAAUAGCAAUAAAAAACUGCUCUGCAAGUAUUUCUGGAGACAAGGUAUUUUUAUAAACAAGAAAACCCACCUCAGUGGCAUUCAUUGAUUAAAUUUAUCUUUAUGAUUUAUCUAUACAUCACACAGAUGGAAUUUUUCAGAAAUGCCAUAAACUGCAAUUUGAAACCAUGUCCACCUAUUGCUUGUCUCACAGCUCUGAUCUGAGGUUAAAAAAUCAAGAGAGAAUAAAUUUCCUUUUAAGAUAAUGACAUCUCUGGAAUGUUAAUAGUACAAAACUUUCAAAAGGUAAAACUAUUUCUUAGCUGAACUAGAAAAGAAGCAGAUUGGCUUAGUCCAUUUUGCACCUUUGUGCUGGAGAAUGACUGGGUUUAAAUUACAGCAGCUUCAGUCUUUGCUUUUCAAUCUCUUAAUCCUUAAGGAGCAGAGGUUUCAGUUCAAGACAACUUCACACAGAACGUACGAAAAGAUUCUGUGAGCCUUUCUCAAGUAUGAUGAUCAUUUUUUCAGCUGCAAUGUUUCACUCACAUCCCAUACCAAAAAAAAAGAAAGAAAAAAAAAGACUGAGGAAAAACAGUGUCAAAUAAUUAAUGCAUUUUCAAUGAAAGGUUCCUUUCCACUAUGGUUUAAUACACAUGCAUGAAAAGCAAUAAAUGCUUUCAUGUGAGCCACUUGCAGAUACUCAUACCUAUGGUUUUCAUCACUGUUUUACUGGUAUCCCCUCACAUUUGUGAUAUUCCCGAGCUCAGAUGGAAAAGGAAGCUAGCCUGGGAGGUUUUACAUCUGGUAGCCAACACUAUUACUUAAACAAGCUACGUCAGUUUUCAAAAAAAGCUACAUAGGUCAAAUCAGGGCAAUUACGUUCUGAUCUAAGUCACAUACAUCUGUCAAUUAUUUCCAGGUGUUUUUUGGGCAACCUAUUUUUCUUAUCUAUAAUUAAUAUUUUGCUAAUAGGGCUGAAGUGAAAUGUCAGGGGCCUCUCCACUUGUCUUCAUUUCAUUAAAAAAUGAGUUGUGACAGUAAUCAUUUGACUAUACUUAGGUUUUAAAGCAUUAUGUUAUUUUAUGUUACAGCUAUUAUUUAAAUCAUAGUUUGCAGGUAUUAUGGGCAUAAUAUUUCUAUGCCGCUCUCUAAGUACAUACCUACACACACAUAUAUAUAGAUAUACAUACCUCAAAGAGGCAUACAUACAUGCAUACCUCAAACUUAUCUUGGAAAUUAACCAGUAAAUGCUUGAAAUGCACAUCAUGCAAUUAAAGAACAAUUCUGGAAGCAAUCACGAAAACUUUUAUUUAAAUUUCUACCUUCCAUUUUGAACCUGCAGUUAUUUUUUAAUCUAUGGAGGCUUAUAGCUGACCACUUUGAAAAACAUGUAACUCAACAGUGUAGGAAUAAGACUUCUUUACUAAUACAAAACAUUUAAAUUAAAUUCAAAGGUCCAGACACCAUCCUGGCUGGCAUUAACAAACCAUAUAUAUAUAUAUAUAUAUAUAUAUAUAUAUAUAUAAAAGUUUUGAAAAUCACAAAGACGGAGAUUGAUCAUCAAACUGAAGUGACAAGUACUUUUUUGGGGGGAUGACUAUUCCCUCUGAAUUAUAGGGGAAGCCGUAUAGCAUUAGAUACAUAAUUUUAGGUGAGCAUUUUCAUUUUCUAUCUUUCAUAAGUUUGUGCUAAGA